GCGCCUGUAGCUCAGCUUGGAUAGAGCGACUGCCUCCUAAGCAGUAGGCCGAGGGUUCGAAUCCCUUCAGGCGCG
rnacentral:tRNA from 1 species